UACGAAGGGGGGCUAGCGUUUACUCGGAUUUUGACUGGGCGUAAAGGGCGCGUAGGCGGUUUUUGUACAGUCAGACGGUGAAAUUUCCUGGGCUCAACCUGGGGGCUGCGUUUUGAUACGUGCAGACUUUGAGUUUCGGAAGAGGGUCGUGGAAUUUCCCAGUGUAGAGGUGAAAUUUCGUAGAUAUUGGGGAAGAACACCGGUGGCGA
rnacentral:rRNA from 1 species